UUGCAUUGGGCGCAGCCUGAUCCAGCCAUGCCGCGUGUCUGAAGAAGGCCUUCGGGUUGUAAAGGACUUUUGUCAGGGAGGAAAUCCCUAGGGCUAAUAUCGCUGGGGGAUGACAGUACCUGAAGAAUAAGCACCGGCUAACUACGUGCCAGCAGCCGCGGUAAUACGUAGGGUGCAAGCGUUAAUCGGAAUUACUGGGCGUAAAGCGUGCGCAGGCGGUUGUGUAAGUCUGAUGUGAAAGCCCCGGGCUCAACCUGGGAACUGCAUUGGAGACUGCACAACUAGAGUGCGUCAGAGGGGGGUAGAAUUCCACGUGUAGCAGUGAAAUGCGUAGAGAUGUGGAGGAAUACCGAUGGCGAAGGCAGCCCCCUGGGAUGACACUGACGCUCAUGCACGAAAGCGUGGGGAGCAAACAGGAUUAGAUACCCUGGUAGUCCACGCCCUAAACGAUGUCAAUUAGCUGUUGGGGGUUUGAAUCCUUGGUAGCGUAGCUAACGCGUGAAAUUGACCGCCUGGGGAGUACGGCCGCAAGGUUAAAACUCAAGAAAUUUGGAGGGA
rnacentral:rRNA from 1 species